AGUGAACGCUGGCGGUAGGCCUAACACAUGCAAGUCGAACGGCGGCACAGUAAGAGCUUGCUCUUACGGGUGGCGAGUGGCGGACGGGUGAGGAAUACAUCGGAAUCUACUUUUUCGUGGGGGAUAACGUAGGGAAACUUACGCUAAUACCGCAUACGACCUACGGGUGAAAGCAGGGGAUCUUCGGACCUUGCGCGAUUGAAUGAGCCGAUGUCGGAUUAGCUAGUUGGCGGGGUAAAGGCCCACCAAGGCGACGAUCCGUAGCUGGUCUGAGAGGAUGAUCAGCCACACUGGAACUGAGACACGGUCCAGACUCCUACGGGAGGCAGCAGUGGGGAAUAUUGGACAAUGGGCGCAAGCCUGAUCCAGCCAUACCGCGUGGGUGAAGAAGGCCUUCGGGUUGUAAAGUCCUUUUGUUGGGAAAGAAAAGCAGCAGGUUAAUACCCCGCUGUUCUGACGGUACCCAAAGAAUAAGCACCGGCUAACUUCGUG
rnacentral:rRNA from 1 species